GCCUAGUUAGCUUAGUUGGUAGUGCGUCUGCCUCGUAAGCUCUAGGCCGCGGGUUCGAUUCCCGCCCGGGGCG
rnacentral:tRNA from 1 species